GGCCCGCACCCCGCUCACAGGGCCUGGGCGGAGCCUCUGCUGGGGCGGGAGCGGCUCGGCUGCCUCGAUUCCCUCAGUGUCCGUCCGUCUGUCCGUCUGUCCGGCGGGGAGGAACGUGCUGAGCGCUCGGCGACCCGCAGAGCCACCACCCGGGUCUCUGCUCCCUGUUGGGCUGUGAGUUCCCUAAAGGAAAUCACCUUUGGGUUCACAGAACCUGGCCCAGGCCUGGACCAUCAUUUCAGAUGGGAAGGAAUUCCACACAUCUGUAGAAGGAACUGUUCCUGCUCCUCACUCCGGCCCAGGGCCUGUGGACGCAACCCUGCGCGGAGCCCCAGCUGUGCAGCCUGCGCCCUCCUGGAGAAGGGAGACCGGAAGUGGGGCUGUUCACCACGCCUGCCUGCCUGCCUGCCGAGUUCAGGUUGGUUUCUGCCUUCAAAUCUACUGAAGCCCGCGGUAGUGAGUCCCAGCCCAGGGUCCGUGUGGGGCACUGCAGGGUCCCUGCAGUCACAGGUACCAGGGGCAGAAACAGAGGGGACACAGCCCUCAUCCCGCUCCGCUGCCCUCUGGGUCCCUGCGCCCCAUCUACGCGGACCCUCACCUGCGAUUCCAGGCAGUCCUGUCACUGCCCCAGGCCUUCCUGACAGGCAUGCCCAGG
rnacentral:lncRNA from 1 species